ACCAGGUCUGCAACUCCAGGAUCGGCCACCCCAGAGAGGCUGCCAGGAAGAGGCUCAAGCACGACCCUUGGAUGUGGUGACACACCAACCUGAAACCCUCCAACGUGCACCUCAAAAUUGUCUGGCAUGUCCUUCACCACUGCAUAACGUCCA